rnacentral:tRNA from 1 species
UUUCAGUUUGGCAGAAAAAUGCAAUAAAUUUAGAAUUUAUUUAUGAUAAUUAAAUGAUCAAUUGAAAG